rnacentral:rRNA from 1 species
GUAGGUGGCAAGCGUUGUCCGGAACUAUUGGGCGUAAAGCGCGCGCAGGCGGUCCUUUAAGUCUGAUGUGAAAGCCCACGGCUCAACCGUGGAGGGUCAUUGGAAACUGGGGGACUUGAGUACAGAAGAGGAAAGCGGAAUUCCAAGUGUAGCGGUGAAAUGCGUAGAGAUUUGGAGGAACACCAGUGGCGAAGGCGGCUUUCUGGUCUGUAACUGACGCUGAGGCGCGAAAGCGUGGGGAGCAAACAGGAUUAGAUACCCUGGUAGUCCACGCCGUAAACGAUGAGUGCUAAGUGUUAGGGGGUUUCCCGCCCCCCUUAGUGCUGCAGCUAACGCAUUAAGCACUCCGCCUGGGGGAUACGGCCGCAAGGCUG